rnacentral:ncRNA from 1 species
CUAUGAGGAGAACGGUGAAAAGGGAAUCAGGUGCAAAUCCUGAACAGACCCGCUGCUGUAAAAUCCGUUUCAAAUCUUGAAUAUACCCAAUUAGCCACUGUUCGUAAACCGGAUGGGAAGGCAUUCAAAGAUGGAUAAGUCAGAAGACCUGCCAAAAAUGAUA